rnacentral:rRNA from 1 species
UACGGAGGGGGCUAGCGUUGUUCGGAAUCACUGGGCGUAAAGCGCACGUAGGCGGACUUUUAAGUCAGGGGUGAAAUCCUGGAGCUCAACUCCAGAACUGCCUUUGAUACUGGAAGUCUUGAGUUCGAGAGAGGUGAGUGGAACUGCGAGUGUAGAGGUGAAAUUCGUAGAUAUUCGCAAGAACACCAGUGGCGAAGGCGGCUCACUGGCUCGAUACUGACGCUGAGGUGCGAAAGCGUGGGGAGCAAACAGG